GGCUGCCUGCUGGGCUGAAGCAAAAGCAGGGCUGCAUCCACAGCGCCGCCGUGAACGAAGGCUCUUCAUUGGUUCUGCGUGAUUCCUCAUGGGUGUGUACCAUGUGUGGAAAUGCACCCCACAUUCACUGAAGGCCAGCUUUUUCUCCUGUGACCACUUCUGUUCUUCCUGGGCCAGUAGCUCUAAAGGCAGCUAUGCAAGCAACGGCUAGGACCUGGCUGCACUCAGGAGGAGACUUGAUUUUUCAUCCAGAACCACCACUCCCACCAACUCCACUCCCAGGCCAUGUGGUUCAGGUGGUUUGGUCCCCACUCUUGACCCAGCAGUCGGCCUGUGAGCCAAGUUUGAUCAAACAUCCUGUGAUCCUGUAUUCACUAUGAUUGACUAGAGGGAAUCUGCUUGUCACUAGGAUAGAAAAUCAGGAAAACAUUCAGAGAGUCACAAAUGUCAACGUACUCAUUGCUGGAUUUACCAACAGGCAGACUGGGUUAAGUAUAACUUGGUUACAUUGCUACUAUGAAUCUCUGCAGACUUAUUUUUUAAAUGCUAUUAUUUCAAACAUCUAAAAAGGACCUCAACUCCACCACUAAGUAGCUGUGUGACCUUAGGCAAUGUUGAGAUCUUUAAGCCCCAGUAGUCGUCUGUUACAAGAUAAUGGUGAUAGUGGUUUAGUCACUUAAGUCAUGUUUGAGUCUUGUGACUUGAUGGACUGUAGCUAAGAUAAUAAAAGAAAAUAUUUUAUAAGGAUCAUUCUGAGAAUAGUGAAGUAAUUUAUGUAAAGUAUCUUUACAUACUAAGCACCAAACAAAUACUGGCUAAGAUGAAUUAUUAUUAUUAUAGUAAAGUUACUAGGGCAGGUCUAGACAAAAAUAAAAACUGUGGAGCCCAAUUUCCACAUUAAGCCUUCCAAGUUCAUCUUUCUGAGGAUCUAUCUCCUGCACUGACAAUGAAGAAAUAACUUGAACUUGGACGUAAAGCCUGGAUCUAGUGUCCAUAUUGCUUCUUUCCAACUGUACAAGCCCCUGAUGAGUUAGGUCUCCCAGCCUGGGUUUCUUCAUUUUCAGAGAUGAGGUUAUCCAUCUGAUGGGUCUGUGGUAGAGACCGAAUAUAGAUUCUCUCUAUCGUGCCUGAGAGGUGCCCAGUGACUCCUGACCCACGGCUCAGCUGCAGUAGCUUGGGUGCACAAUGGUUCUGCCUUACCUGGAG
ensembl:lncRNA